rnacentral:rRNA from 1 species
UACGAAGGGGGCUAGCGUUGCUCGGAAUCACUGGGCGUAAAGGGUGCGUAGGCGGGUCUUUAAGUCAGGGGUGAAAUCCUGGAGCUCAACUCCAGAACUGCCUUUGAUACUGAGGAUCUUGAGUUCGGGAGAGGUGAGUGGAACUGCGAGUGUAGAGGUGAAAUUCGUAGAUAUUCGCAAGAACACCAGUGGCGAAGGCGGCUGUCUGGUCCGGUUCUGACGCUGAGGCGCGAAAGCGUGGGGAGCGAACAGG